rnacentral:rRNA from 1 species
AUUGAACGCUGGCGGCAGGCCUAACACAUGCAAGUCGAGCGGAUGAAGGGAGCUUGCUCCUGGAUUCAGCGGCGGACGGGUGAGUAAUGCCUAGGAAUCUGCCUGGCAGUGGGGGAUAACGUCCGGAAACGGGCGCUAAUACCGCCUACGUCCUGAGGGAGAAAGUGGGGGAUCUUCGGACCGCACGCUAUCAGAUGAGCCUAGGUCGGAUUAGCUAGUUGGUGGGGUAAAGGCCUACCAAGGCGACGAUCCGUAACUGGUCUGAGAGGAUGAUCAGUCACACUAGAACUGAGACACGGUCCAGACUCCUACGGGAGGCAGCAGUGGGGAAUAUUGGACAAUGGGCGAAAGCCUGAUCCAGCCAUGCCGCGUGUGUGAAGAAGGUCUUCGGAUUGUAAAGCACUUUAAGGUGGGAGGAAGGGCAGUAAGUUAAUACCUUGCUGUUUUGACGUUACUAACAGAAUAAGCACCGGCUAACUUCGUG